UGAAGCGGCAAAAGCUCAAAUUUGAAAUCCUGCGGGAAUUGUAAUUUGAAGGUUUCGUGGUCUGAGUCGGCCGCGCCCAAGUCCAUUGGAACAUGGCGCCUGGGAGGGUGAGAGCCCCGUAUGGCGCACGCCGACUCUUUGCACCGCGGCUCCGACGAGUCGAGUUGUUUGGGAAUGCAGCUCUAAGUGGGUGGUAAAUUCCAUCUAAAGCUAAAUAUUGGCGAGAGACCGAUAGCGAACAAGUACAGUGAUGGAAAGAUGAAAAGCACUUUGAAAAGAGAGUGGAAACAGCACGUGAAAUUGUUGAAAGGGAAGGGCUUGCAAGCAGACACGGUUUUACCGGGCCAGCGUCGAAAAGGGGGGAGGAACAAGAACUCGAGAAUGUGGCGCGCACCUUCGGGCGCGCGUGUUAUAGCUCGUGUUGACGCCUCCAUCCCUUUUCGAGGCCUGCGAUUCUAGGACGCUGGCGUAAUGGUUGCAAGCCGC
rnacentral:rRNA from 1 species